AUACGGAGGGUGCAAGCGUUACUCGGAAUCACUGGGCGUAAAGCGCGCGCAGGCGGGCUGAUAAGUUGGAUGUGAAAGCCUACGGCUCAACCGUAGAACUGCAUCCAAAACUGUCAGUCUCGAGUGUGGGAGAGGAAGAUGGAAUUAGUUGUGUAGGGGUAAAAUCCGUAGAGAUAACUAGGAAUACCAAAAGCGAAGGCAAUCUUCUGGAACACUACUGACGCUGAGGCGCGAAGGCGUGGGGAGCAAACAGGAUUAGAAACCCCAGUAGUCC
rnacentral:rRNA from 1 species